rnacentral:rRNA from 1 species
UACGGAGGGUGCGAGCGUUGUCCGGAAUCACUGGGCGUAAAGGGCGCGUAGGCGGCCUGGCAAGUCGAUGGUGAAAGCCCCCGGCUCAACUGGGGAGGGUCACGCGAUACUGAUCGACUCGAAGGCAGGAGAGGGAAGUGGAAUUCCCGGUGUAGCGGUGGAAUGCGCAGAUAUCAGGAAGAACACCCGUGGCGAAGGCGGCUCUCUGGGACGGUACUGACGCUGAGACGCGAAAGCGUGGGGAGCGAACAGG